AGAGUUUGAUCCUGGCUCAGGAUGAACGCUAGCGGGAGGCCUAACACAUGCAAGCCGAGCGGUAGAGAUCUUUCGGGAUCUUGAGAGCGGCGUACGGGUGCGGAACACGUGUGCAACCUGCCUUUAUCAGGGGGAUAGCCUUUCGAAAGGAAGAUUAAUACCCCAUAAUAUAUUAAGUGGCAUCAUUUGAUAUUGAAAACUCCGGUGGAUAGAGAUGGGCACGCGCAAGAUUAGAUAGUUGGUAGGGUAACGGCCUACCAAGUCAGUGAUCUUUAGGGGGCCUGAGAGGGUGAUCCCCCACACUGGUACUGAGACACGGACCAGACUCCUACGGGAGGCAGCAGUGAGGAAUAUUGGACAAUGGGUGAGAGCCUGAUCCAGCCAUCCCGCGUGAAGGACGACGGCCCUAUGGGUUGUAAACUUCUUUUGUAUAGGGAUAAACCUUUCCACGUGUGGAAAGCUGAAGGUACUAUACGAAUAAGCACCGGCUAACUCCGUGCCAGCAGCCGCGGUAAUACGGAGGGUGCAAGCGUUAUCCGGAUUUAUUGGGUUUAAAGGGUCCGUAGGCGGAUCUGUAAGUCAGUGGUGAAAUCUCAUAGCUUAACUAUGAAACUGCCAUUGAUACUGCAGGUCUUGAGUAAAGUAGAAGUGGCUGGAAUAAGUAGUGUAGCGGUGAAAUGCAUAGAUAUUACUUAGAACACCAAUUGCGAAGGCAGGUCACUAUGUUUUAACUGACGCUGAUGGACGAAAGCGUGGGGAGCGAACAGGAUUAGAUACCCUGGUAGUCCACGCCGUAAACGAUGCUAACUCGUUUUUGGGUCUUCGGAUUCAGAGACUAAGCGAAAGUGAUAAGUUAGCCACCUGGGGAGUACGUUCGCAAGAAUGAAACUCAAAGGAAUUGACGGGGGCCCGCACAAGCGGUGGAUUAUGUGGUUUAAUUCGAUGAUACGCGAGGAACCUUACCAAGGCUUAAAUGGAAAUUGACAGGUUUAGAAAUAGACUUUUCUUCGGACAAUUUUCAAGGUGCUGCAUGGUUGUCGUCAGCUCGUGCCGUGAGGUGUUAGGUUAAGUCCUGCAACGAGCGCAACCCCUGUCACUAGUUGCCAUCAUUCAGUUGGGGACUCUAGUGAGACUGCCUACGCAAGUAGAGAGGAAGGUGGGGAUGACGUCAAAUCAUCACGGCCCUUACGCCUUGGGCCACACACGUAAUACAAUGGCCGGUACAGAGGGCAGCUACCUAGCGAUAGGAUGCGAAUCUCGAAAGCCGGUCUCAGUUCGGAUUGGAGUCUGCAACUCGACUCUAUGAAGCUGGAAUCGCUAGUAAUCGCAUAUCAGCCAUGAUGCGGUGAAUACGUUCCCGGGCCUCCUAAACGCCGCCCGUCAA
rnacentral:rRNA from 1 species